GUUGUGUUACCAAGGCCCAGCUCGACUCCCCACACAGCCUGGAAAUCACUCACGUCAUGGUGGUUGGAAAGCCUUUAUCGUUAUCGUCAAAACAGGAUAUCUCUUCACCACACGAAGCACCUUUUUGGCGCCACUGACUUUUAAAAUAG